UUUAGGUAUAAGACAUUGGAUUUGUUUUUGAAGAUAAACGGGAUCUGGAGUAUGUUGUCUACCACCAAGAAAUCACAACAUAUUUGAGAGAAAAGGAUAGACACAUGAAAAGCUAAGCUUAGGACACCAAGAGGUCAUUAUUCCAAUCUAUUGAGUUAUUUAGCGAGACUCUAUGCUCAGGACAGUGCCUGAGGUCUGGUGGAGCAGGACUUUGAAGGCGCUUUGGGACUUUCACAGGCAGAAAGGAGCAGGAAGUUUCUGGAGCGAGACUGGGCAUCAGGAAACUGAGGAUCAGAGGAUUUGACCAACCCAAAGCCACCCAGCUAGUAAGGAGGAGGGGAGCCCGCAGGGCCUGAAUCCUGACAAGUUGGCUCGAGGGCUCAGGUUCUGGAGCUGAGUCAAUAGCUCCAGCUCUCAGGUCAGCUGCCUGUGUUCCAGUCCUGCCUCUCACAGUUUCUACAAAUUUGGAACAAGUUUGCUGAGCCCUGAAUUUGAUUAUCCGUGAGAUCAUUUCUAGCUCUAAUUUAGAAACGCAACUCCACCAUUUACCAGCUGCAUGACCUUGGGACACCUUUUUGAGAAUGUGUUUAGAGAAAGACUCUAUUCACCCCGUGAAGAUUUUGAAGCCCCAUCAGGAUCUUAGGGGAGCUCUCUGAAAAGUACAUCAACUAAGCUUCCUCCCCUCGGGAUUCCAGACUGAAGAUAACGACACAGAAAUAGCAUGGAUGCUAAUAACAUACUGUCCAGGCAAAGAAAGGUUAUUCUCUGAAAGAAUUUGGUGCGUUCUAACUGCUACCACGUGUAUCUUCAUAAAGAGAGAGGCAGAAGGAUUUUUGAAGAGAAGGAGGCAAUGUGACCAUGGAAGCAAAGAUUAGAGUGAUGUGGCUACAAGUCAAGAAGCUCUUGAAGCCACCAGAAGCUGGAAGAGGCAAGGAAGAGAUUUUUCCCUAGAGCCAUCGGAGGGAGUGUAAUCUUGCUGACACAUCGAUUUUGGGUUUCUGGCCUCCAGAGCUAGGAGAGAAUAAAUUUCUGCUGUUUUAAGACACCCAGUUUGCGGUAAUUUGUUAAAGCAGCCACCGGAAACUAAAUCAUUUGGAUUUCUAAAAAUAAAUGCUAUUAGUUAGCUAAAGUUUUGUGUCUUAGCCUGGAUUCUCCAGAAAACAGUUCUUGAGGUAAGAAUUAAAAUGUGGAUGCUUUUGUAGGACAUACAAGCAGAGUAAGGAAAAAAUGAAGUGGAGGAACGUGAAGCAAUGUAAUGUGAUGUGUUACUAUAGUGGCUACUGCUUAUGACUGGAUUGUAGGAGAGAAACUAUGUGGCUCAGCAGUUGUAUCAACCACAUUUGGACUUCUCUGGAAAGCUGCAAGGAGGAACCUUGUAGUAGUUCAUGGAAAGGUGAAAGGAAGGAAAAAUUAUCUGCCUGGCUCCAUACUAUCUCCUGUUUCCUAUGGUCAAAGUUCCCUGACAACAACUCAGUUCUGAGACAAGUGAACCAGCCCCUCAGUGAUGGCUCAGGAAACCAAAUCCUGCACGAUGGGAUGUGGUAUUUCACACACGUCGAGAAGCAUACGCGCAAAUCAACAUAGAUAGGCUUGGCAUGUGGGGCACAAAAGCCAUUCAGGCUGGAGGUUUCAAUUUGGAGAGACGGUGGCCAUGGGUGGCUGGUGGCCGUGGUGGAGGGACAGAGGA
ensembl:lncRNA